rnacentral:rRNA from 1 species
GGAUAAGGAAAGUAAAAAAGGGCGCAUGGCGGAUGCCUUGGCUCUCGGAGGCGAUGAAGGACGUGAUAAGCUGCGAUAAGCUUUGGGGAGGUGCAAAUGACCUUUGAUCCAGAGAUUUCCGAAUGGGACAACCCAAUAUCUUGAAGAGGUAUUAUCCAACGUUGUUGGAGGCUAACGCAGGGAACUGAAACAUCUUAGUACCUGCAGGAAAAGAAAAUAAACAAUGAUUCCCCCAGUAGUGGCGAGCGAACGGGGAACAGCCCAAACCAUCCAUGUUACGGCAUGGGUGGGGUUGUAGGACUACGCCGUUGCAUGAAGACAUCAGAGAAGAACUUUCUGGAAAGAAAGACCAUAGAGCAUGACAGUUGCGUAUUCGAAUGUUGUCGAAGCAUAGUAGUAUCCUGAGUAGCGCGGAGCACGAGGAAUUCUGCGUGAAUCUGCCGGGACCAUCCGGUAAGGCUAAAUACUCCCGAGAGACCGAUAGCGAACCAGUACCGUGAGGGAAAGGUGAAAAGCACUUCGAACAGAAGAGUGAAAUAGUUCCUGAAACCGUGCGCCUACAAGCGGUCGGAGCUCGUUAAUGAGUGACGGCGUGCCUUUUGCAUAAUGAACCUACGAGUUGCCUUUGCCGGCAAGGUUAAGUGUGACGACACACGUAUCCGAAGCGAAAGCGAGUCUGAACAGGGCGUAUAGUCGGCAGUGGCAGACGCGAAACCAAGUGAUCUACCCUUGGCCAGGUUGAAGGCUGGGUAACACCAGCUGGAGGACCGCACCAAUAAGCGUUGAAAAGCUUCUGGAUGAGCUGAGGGUAGGGGUGAAAGGCUAAUCAAACUUGGAGAUAGCUCGUACUCCCCGAAAUGCAUUUAGGUGCAGCCUUGCGGGUUACUGAUGUGAGGUAGAGCGACUGAUAAGAUGCGAGGGCUUCACCGCCUAUCAAGUCUUGACAAACUCCGAAUGCGCAUCAGUUCUACCGCAGGAGUGAGGGCAUGGGUGCUAAGGUCCGUGCCCGAGAGGAGAAGAAUCCGGACCACCUGCUAAGGUCCCGAAAUGACAGCUAAGUUAAACUAACGAAGUCUGACUGCUAAGACAGCUAGGAUGUUGGCUUGGAAGCAGCCAUUCAUUUAAAGAGUGCGUAACAGCUCACUAGUCGAGGAGUCGGGCGUGGAUAAUAAUCGGGUAUCAAGUUGUCUACCGAAGCAGUGGGAUCAUUAAUAUGAUCGGUAGGGGAGCAUUCCAGUCGGCGUCGAAGGCGUACCGUGAGGUAUUCUGGAGCGUCUGGAAAAGCAAAUGUAGGUAUAAGUAACGAUAAAGGGGGCGGGAAACCCCCUCGCCGAAAGACUAAGGUUUCCUGAUCAACGCUAAUCGGAUCAGGGUCAGUCGGGUCCUAAGGCUCAGCCGAACGGCGAUGCCGAUGGCAGAAACGGUUAAUAUUCCGUUACUACCUUCAGGAGUGACGUGGAGACGCAGUAGUGACAGUGCCGCCAUCUGACGGAAUAGAUGGUUGAAGGGUGUAGGAGUCGAUCAUGGCAGGCAAAUCCACCAUGAGAUCCGAACCUGAUAGUAUGCCGCGUCCUUCGGGACAAGGCAAUAGUGCGCGUAAGCAUGCUGCCGAGAAAAUCCGCUAAACUUAAUCCUGGAGGUACCCGUACCGCAAACGGACACACGUAGUCGGGAUGAAUAUUCUAAGGCGCUUGAGUGAUUCACGGUUAAGGAACUAGGCAAACUGACCCUGUAACUUCGGGAUAAAGGGUCCCUACCCUUUUAUGGGAGGGCGCAGAGAAUCGGUCCAGGCAACUGUUUAACAAAAACACAGGGCUGUGCCAAAUCGAAAGAUCCAGUAUACAGCCUGACACCUGCCCGGUGCUGGAAGGUUAAGAGGAGAUGUCAUCGAUAAGAGAAGCGUUGAAUUGAAGCCCCAGUAAACGGCGGCCGUAACUAUAACGGUCCUAAGGUAGCGAAAUUCCUUGUCGGGUAAGUUCCGACCUGCACGAAUGGUGUAAUGAUCUGGACGCUGUCUCAACCGUGAGCUCAGUGAAAUUGUAGUAUCGGUGAAGAUGCCGAUUACCCGCGAUGGGACGAAAAGACCCCGUGAACCUUUACUAUAGCUUAUCAUUGAAUCUGGGCACGUGAUGUGUAGGAUAGGUCGGAGGCUUUGAAGCAGGUACGCCAGUAUUUGUGGAGCCGCUGUUGAAAUACGACCCUUUAUUUGUUUGGAUUCUAACCCGUGGAUACGGGGACAUUGAUUGGUGGGUAGUUUGACUGGGGUGGUCGCCUCCAAAAGCGUAACGGAGGCUUCUAAAGGUGCCCUCCGGCCGAUUGGUAACCGGCCUUAGAGUGUAAUGGCAUAAGGGCGCUUGACUGGGAGACUGACAAGUCGAUCAGGUAGGAAACUAGAGCAUAGUGAUCCGGUGUUUCCGUAUGGAAGGGACAUCGCUCAAAGGAUAAAAGGUACUCCGGGGAUAACAGGCUGAUCCCUCCCAAGAGCUCAUAUCGACGGAGUGGUUUGGCACCUCGAUGUCGGCUCGUCACAUCCUGGGGCUGGAGAAGGUCCCAAGGGUUGGGCUGUUCGCCCAUUAAAGUGGCACGCGAGCUGGGUUCAGAACGUCGUGAGACAGUUCGGUCUCUAUCUAUCGUGGGCGUAUGAAAUUUGCGUGGCUCUGACACUAGUACGAGAGGACCGUGUUGGACAGACCUCUGGUUUGCCGGUUGUGCCGCCAGGUGCAUUGCCGGGUAUCUAAGUCUGGAUCGGAUAAGUGCUGAAAGCAUCUAAGUACGAAGCCGGCCACAAGAUUAGAUUUCUCAGGGUCGUUGUAGACUACGACGUUGAUAGGAUGCAGGUGUAAAGAUGGAGACAUCAAAGCCGAGCAUUACUAAUUGCCCGUUCACUUUCCUUA